UUAUCGCAUCAAUCAAAUGGUGAAUUUGUGGAUGGCGUUGAGUGCUGGGUUUGUUGUUAUUUAGUUGUAUGUAGAGGGCGGGACCUGCGCUGGGAUGAACAAGGCGCGGCCAAGAGCUCCUUCACACGUGCAGACAAAGAGACCUAACAACACAACCAAAAUAUGCACUUUCAAACUUUUUGCACCCAGAUAAUCUCGCAUGGAAACACAGAAAAAUGCAACGCUGGACCCAGGCCGCACUCACCGCAAAUAUGGAAUGCUCAUAUUUUGGAUGGAAAUAGCUCUUGGAUGGAUUUUAGGGGAUUUACCAGUGACAUUUUGGCAAAGAAGCCCCCUGGAAUAGUGGAAUACUGCUGCGCAGCGACAUUUGGAUUACAAUCUCCUCCGGCAACUGGAAUAUGAACAUCAGCUUGAAGUGAUAGCCUACUCUAAUCGCCUGAGACUCAGGCACUGAAAGACAGCCCUGGGCCCUGGGAAAGUCCCCCUCAGAACCGUGACCGGGAGUCAUGCAGCCAAUGAAUGUGGCUAUUCACCAACGCAUCACCAUAGAGAUGGACGUGGCCCUGACCCUGCCUGCCCCUGACCCUGAGGCCAGGACACUUCGCUUCACUUUGGCCCCCUCUUCAUGCGCCAGUGGCUGGAGAAGAGGAUGUGUUCCUCUGUGGCUCUGUCCGACGGCAGACGGGCAUUCAUCAUCAGACCAACGGAUGUGAAGACCAGAGGACACAGAGAGAGAGAGAGAGAGAGAGAGAGAGA